UGUGGGAGAGAGGCUUUAGUCAAUGGCUUUUUGUAACUCUGCCACAGAUCAGCAAAAACUGAAUUGGACGUUGACUUGAUUGUAUGCUAAGUUGUUCAUUGUCUUGAUUGCAUUGCUAACUUAUUGAUUGGUUUUUUAAAAUUUUUAUUGGCUUUUUAUCUGUCUUUUUUUAAUGUUUCUUACUGUAUUUUGAUUGCAAGCUCACAGGUUUGCCCUCUGUAAUUGAUGCGAGUGUGUUUUUAUACCGAAAUAACAAACAAAUGAAAAUAAAAUAAUUUAUAUAUUAUAUUCCAGGUUUGCCAAACAAAAUAAUAACUUAAUUUUUGUAACUAAUAAUAUCAUUAGUCUUGGUAUACUGCAUACCCUUUAAAUUUCUAGCAUAUGUACUAUGUGGAAGUCAAAAUUUUUAUUUAUAUUUUCAUUCCUUAAUUGUUUUGUGGCAGAACCAUGUCUCAAAAUCAAAAUAUGGUUGAAAUGUUAUGGUUACACUGCCAAGUGUAGGGUAUACAGUACAGUACUAAUGUUUUCAUUAAUACUUAGUGGCACAGAACACAUUAAAAAGAACAAGGAAGUCAUUAUUGUAUAUUUUAAAUUCUAAUUCUUCAAAAAUUCCCAUCAUGACAUGAGACGACAUUGACAUUGAAAAUUGAUUGUCUUACUGUACUUGUUACAAGAUUUGUUUUCAAAUUUUGAAAACCUUUACGCAGGGGUGGCACCAGUACCCCAUCAGGAAGGAAGCCAGUCAUUUUGUUGUGAAAACAUUUUUACAGUUUAAGACUGCCAUUUUGGGACUAGGGGUGCCUAUUCUUAAAAUUGCACCAACCAUGGUGUGGCUGAGAACCCCCUGUCGGUAAACUUUGACCUUUUAUUGGGGAGUCUGGCGCCGCCACUGCUUUUAACCUUGGUGAUCAGCUACUGUACAUAAAAAGACCUUCAGUUAUAGCAAGUAUACAGGACAUGUAAUAACACAUUGUAUGUACAAACACUCAGACAUCAGUAAGACACUCCUACAGUACAUUAUCACCACCCCCCCCCCCAAAAGCCUUAUCAUCCUUGCAAAUGAGAGAUUAAAUAAAACAAAUUGGGACAGGCAUUCAUUGUAUGAAUAAUUUGCAGAGAAAAACCAAAUGGAAACUAUUUAGGGAUUGUCUACACAGUUCUAUGAUCAUAGCGACAUAAAGUGGCAAUUACAACAGAAUUUACAUAAUUAUUCUGUGUCCUUUAAACAUCAUUUUAUGAUGUCUUCUUGGUUUAAUAAAACAACAGUAUAACUUUUUGGUUUAAGGGCUCUCAGAUAAUUUCAAGUGUGAAUAGCCAUCACACACAAAUUUAUAUUUAGAACUGAUAAUAUAGGUAAGUGUGAAUAGUUACCACACACACACAGAUUAGUGUAAAUAGCAUCACACAGAUAUGUACUGUUUUACACCUGAUGCCUGUUUGCCACAAGUAAGAUUUUUUAAUUGUAGUCACAAUUAUAACGAUUAUAGGCCUAAAUUUUUUAACUGAUAAGCGAGUCAAUUCUAGAAACGCUUGCAUAUUCAAUACAUCUCAAACCCACACAAUAAAUAAGAAUAGGUGAAUGAAGCUUACAAAACAUUGCAGAGGAUUCAUAUAAAGGCCUUAAAAAAUGUUGUGUUACGCAAACCUGCCCGCCCAACCCAAAAUACGGAAUAUCUAGGGUAAUUUUUUCUUCUUUUUUGGCAGAAAUACAUUUUCUUUACCGAGAAGCCCAAAAUACUUGUAUGAAGUUUUAACGGCUACAGUAUAUUACCAGGUAUUCAUACUGCAACUAUGGAUUUCAGUC
rnacentral:lncRNA from 1 species